rnacentral:lncRNA from 1 species
CAGUGUGAAGCAAAACCAAUUUAUGGUGCCAACAAAGAGUUCAACCACAAUUCUCAAAAGCUUCACACACUCUUGAUUAAGACAGUGUGAAGCAAAACCAAUUUAUGGUGCGAACAAGAGCUUCAUCAAUGGUGGGCAACCACAAUUCUCAAAAGCUUCACACACUCUUGAUCAAGACAGUGUGAAGCAAAACCAAUUUAUGGUGCCAACAAUGAAGGGCAACUACAACUCAUAGAAAGCUUCACACACUCUUAAUCAAGAUUGUUCGAAGCAAAUUCAAUUUAUAUGGUUCAUCCAAACCUUUGACUACUACAAGGUGUGGCUUGCAUCACAAUCUCUUGCUCAACAGUGUGGAAGCAAAAUUUGUAUAUGUUGUUUCUCUUACAUUUUCAAAUUUCUAGUUUUCCUAAAAACAAAAAC